rnacentral:lncRNA from 1 species
CUCUCAUAUGGAGCGUUCAUAUUGCUUCGGUCGAAAUUGGACAAAUCAUGCGAAGGAUAUAAUUUUAUAAAAUAAAUUUGUCAUAAUCUUUUACGGUUGCGAAGGAGUCGUGGACACAAGGAAAACAGUGUUUGGGGAGAUAACUCCUACAAAGAAAAGUAUUCGGUUAUGCAGGGUAAAUUUCAAAAGCGCAUAAACUGUUCGAUAUCAUAUACCAAAUAUCUAAGCGACAUAUUGCGAAACAAAUAUUUAUCGCAAGAACAAAAUUAGGCGGAAGAAAAAAAAACAAUCAGAAGAAAAACAAUAGGUCUUUCCACAGAAAAGUGGAAAGACCUAAUUAACA